rnacentral:rRNA from 1 species
CCCGCAACGAGCGCAACCCUUAUCCUUUGUUGCCAGCGGUUCGGCCGGGAACUCAAAGGAGACUGCCAGUGAUAAACUGGAGGAAGGUGGGGAUGACGUCAAGUCAUCAUGGCCCUUACGAGUAGGGCUACACACGUGCUACAAUGGCGUAUACAAAGAGAAGCGACCUCGCGAGAGCAAGCGGACCUCAUAAAGUACGUCGUAGUCCGGAUUGGAGUCUGCAACUCGACUCCAUGAAGUCGGAAUCGCUAGUAAUCGUAGAUCAGAAUGCUACGGUGAAUACGUUCCCGGGCCUUGUACACACCGCCCGUCACACCAUGGGAGUGGGUUGCAAAAGAAGUAGGUAGCUUAACCUUCGGGAGGGCGCUUACCACUUUGUGAUUCAUGACUGGGGUGAAGUCGUAACAAGGUAACCGUA